AUUGAACGCUGGCGGCAGGCUUAAUACAUGCAAGUCGAGCGAGCGGCGGACGGGUGAGUAAUGUCUGGGAAACUGCCUGAUGGAGGGGGAUAAUUACUGGAAACGGUAGCUAAUACAGCAUACCAUCAGAUGUGCCCAGAGGGGAUUAGCUAGUAGGUGGGGUAAUGGCUCACCUAGGCGACGAUCCCUAGCUGGUCUGAGAGGGUGACCGGCCACACUGGAACUGAGACACGGUCCAGACGCCUACGGGAGGCAGCAGUGGGGAAUAUUGCACAAUGGGCGAAAGCCUGAUGCAGCCAUGCCGCGUGUGGGAAGAAGGCCUUCGGGUUGUAAAGCACUUUCAGCGAGGAGGCGUUACUCACAGAGGAAGCACCGGCUAACUCCGUGCCAGCAGCCGCGGUAAUAC
rnacentral:rRNA from 1 species